CAGUCGCCGCGGGAAUACGUAGGUGGCAAGCGUUGUCCGGAAUUAUUGGGCGUAAAGGGCUCGCAGGCGGUUUCUUAAGUCUGAUGUGAAAGCCCCCGGCUCAACCGGGGAGGGUCAUUGGAAACUGGGAAACUUGAGUGCAGAAGAGGAGAGUGGAAUUCCACGUGUAGCGGUGAGAUGCGUAGAGAUGUGGAGGAACACCAGUGGCGAAGGCGACUCUCUGGUCUGUAACUGACGCUGAGGAGCGAAAGCGUGGGGAGCGAACAGGAUUAGAGACCCCCGUAGUCCCUGUCUCUUAUAC
rnacentral:rRNA from 1 species